GAUGAAGAACGUAGCGAAAUGCGAUAAGUAAUGUGAAUUGCAGAAUUCAGUGAAUCAUCGAAUCUUUGAACGCACAUUGCGCCCGCCAGUAUUCUGGCGGGCAUGCCUGUUCGAGCGUCAUUACAACCCUCAGGCCCCCGGGCCUGGCGUUGGGGAUCGGCGGAGCCCCCCGUGGGCACACGCCGUCCCCCAAAUGCAGUGGCGGUCCCGCCGCAGCUUCCAUCGCGUAGUAGCUAACACCUCGCGACUGGAGAGCGGCGCGGCCACGCCGUAAAACACCCAACUCUUCUGAAGUUGACCUCGAAUCAGGUAGGAAUACCCGCUGAACUUAAGCAUAUCAAUAAGCGGAAGA
rnacentral:misc_RNA from 1 species